rnacentral:rRNA from 1 species
UGGCGGCGCGCCUAAACAUGCAAGUCGAACGAGAAAGUGGAGCAAUCCAUGAGUACAGUGGCGUACGGGUGAGUAACACGUGGGUAAUCUACCCUUUGGUGGGGAAUAACUCUGGGAAACCGGAGCUAAUACCGCAUAAUCCCGAGAGGGAAAAGCAGCAAUGCGCCGAAGGAGGAGCCCGCGGCCGAUUAGCCAGUUGGUAGGGUAAUGGCCUACCAAAGCAAAGAUCGGUAGCCGGCCUGAGAGGGCACACGGCCACACUGGCACUGAAACACGGGCCAGACUCCUACGGGAGGCAGCAGUGGGGAAUCUUGCACAAUGGGGGAAACCCUGAUGCAGCGACGCCGCGUGAGCGAUGAAGCCCUUCGGGGUGUAAAGCUCUUUCGGCAGGGAAGAUUAUGACGGUACCUGCAGAAGCAGCUGCGGCUAACUACGUGCCAGCAGCCGCGGUAAUACGUAGGCAGCAAGCGUUGUUCGGAGUUACUGGGCGUAAAGGGUGUGUANGCGGCUUUUUAAGUUUGGUGUGAAAUCUCCCGG